UACGGAGGGAGCUAGCGUUGUUCGGAAUUACUGGGCGUAAAGCGCACGUAGGCGGCUACUCAAGUCGGGGGUGAAAGCCCGGGGCUCAACCCCGGAACUGCCCUCGAAACUAGGUGGCUAGAAUCUUGGAGAGGUCAGUGGAAUUCCGAGUGUAGAGGUGAAAUUCGUAGAUAUUCGGAAGAACACCAGUGGCGAAGGCGACUGACUGGACAAGUAUUGACGCUGAGGUGCGAAAGCGUGGGGAGCAAACAGG
rnacentral:rRNA from 1 species